AUUGCCCCUAGAGGCAUUGUGACCAUUGUGUCACACAUUUGAAAGUAGGUGUCAAGAGAAGAGUUCUGACCUAGGGACAUCUGAGUGAUCAGUAGCCUUACAGU
rnacentral:snoRNA from 1 species